AUCAUCAGACCACUUUACAUGCACGUGGUCGGAAGUUUGACUUACUAUUGGUUAAUAGCGGUAAAGCCCGCCCAACCACCUCCGGUCUGCUCCUUUAAGAAAGCGCUGUGGGCCCUUCUGAGCCUUUUCACGUCUGCAAAGGCUGGGAGGUCCCGGCCCGGCCGAAGACGUCAGAUCUCAUCGUUCUACGCCCUUUUUUGUUACCUGUUCCCCUCAAUAAAGUGGCUUAACCCCAA